GGUAUAGCCAAGUGGUAAGGCAACGGACUUUGACUCCGUCAUUCCGCUGGUUCGAAUCCAGCUACU
rnacentral:tRNA from 1 species